rnacentral:hammerhead_ribozyme from 1 species
CUGCCACUGAGGAGUCCCACAAUAGGACGAAGUGGCCGUCCGGUGC